CACUGUUUCUUGGAUAGUUCAGAUACU
rnacentral:piRNA from 1 species